rnacentral:rRNA from 1 species
UACGAAGGGGGCUAGCGUUGCUCGGAAUCACUGGGCGUAAAGCGCACGUAGGCGGAUCGCUAAGUCAGGGGUGAAAUCCUGGAGCUCAACUCCAGAACUGCCUUUGAUACUGGCAAUCUCGAGUCCGGGAGAGGUGAGUGGAACUGCGAGUGUAGAGGUGAAAUUCGAUAGAUAUUCGCAAGAACACCAGUGGCGAAGGCGGCUCACUGGCCCGGUACUGACGCUGAGGUGCGAAAGCGUGGGGAGCGAACGAGG